UAGGGGUGAAAGGCCAAUCAAACCCGGAAAUAGCUGGUUCUCCGCGAAAUCUAUUUAGGUAGAGCGUCAUCCGAAUACCCCGGGGGGUAGAGCACUGGAUGGGUAAUGGGGCCCCACAGGCUUACUGAUCCUAACCAAACUCCGAAUACCCGGGAGUACUAGAUGGCAGACACACGGCGAAUGCUAACGUCCGUCGUGGAGAGGGAAACAACCCUGACCUACAGCUAAGGCCCCUAAUUCAUGGCUAAGUGGGAAAGCAGGUGAGACGACCAAAACAACCAGGAGGUUGGCUUAGAAGCAGCCAUCCUUUAAAGAUAGCGUAACAGCUCACUGGUCUAAAUAAGUUGUCCUGCGGCGAAGAUGUAACGGGGCUCAAGCCAUGAGCCGAAGCUGAGGAUGCAUUUAUUGCAUGGUAGCAGAGCGUAGU
rnacentral:rRNA from 9 species